ACUGGUCUGGUCGAGUCUGUCCCUGAGCCUCUGCCUGUACGGUUGUCCCACAAUGUCGUCUCUGUGAAAUCGAAAUAGUUUUCUUGUUCGUUUAUUCCGUCAGUUAUUUACAAUUUUGUUUGUGUGCUGCUGGACUACUACAGGCGUUUCCUGAAUGAUUGCAGCUAUCCUGGUUUUAUUUUUGCUUUGUUAUUUAAAUGUAUUGAAUGAACGAAGGUGCGUGACUCAUCGUUUCGUUGAUUUUCCCGCCAUGUUGAGUUGGCUUCAAAAUGGCAAGAAGAAAGUCGAAUGAAUCCGGCUCGGUGACAACACGUCAAGACGUCAAGUCAGUUUCUUGAAAGACGGAUCAACCCUGCGUUUUUGUUUUCAUUUUCUGGAUGUGGAACUUUUAGAGCGCAAUGAUUUGCAGCCGGAAGUUGCAAUGGACCUUUUCGUGAGGAUAAAGUGGAACGUACCCACGUCUCAGGAUGUCGUUUACAUUUCACUACACACCGUGCUACUACACAUCUACAAUAACAGCUAAACUAUGAGUCUAGAAGUAGUUUGGUCUAAGGAGUUGGCAGCCAUCAAACGGAUUCCGUCGCCCGCCUCACCUGCUGCCUCACCGGUGAUGCCCAUCAGCCAAACUGCCGAAGUUGUUCCGGUCGUCGUCCCCGAACCGGUGGCUGCUCCGCGUUCCGUCGUUCCGGUUGUUGUUGCUGCUGCCCAACAACAAUCCGAGCCCAUGAAAUCGUCGCCGGUAACGGCGAGGAAACCCAAAGACAAUCCGGCCGUCAGCACUGCGCCUCUUCCGGCUAAAAGGUUGUCCCAUUUAGCCAUACCUUCGGCCCUUCCUAGGAAAUCCAUUCGCCCGGAAGAAAAGGUGGAAGAAGUGAUGAAACCGAAAGAAGAGGAAACGCCCAUCGCCAUCGAACCCCCGGUAGUCCAGCCACCAAUCCAGCCGCCAAUCUAGCCGCCAAUCUAGCCGCCAAUCUAGCCGCCAAUACAGCCACUAAUGCAGCCGGAAGAAACAGCUGAAGUUGUCGCCAGUGCUGUUCCAUCAGUCCAACAGCCGAAUGCUGCUGUUUCAACACCGGAAGUUAGCAUCCGGACGAAGCGGAGGAGCGUAAAAGUCACCAGUUCCGGCCUGCCAGCAGACGACGUUGACCUUUCAGAAAAAGUCAUCCGCCAAUUCCGAUGGGAAUAAGAACCCGAGGCGGAUCGGAGUUGCAUCGUCGACGACACUUUCAGGAUAUUGGAACUAUUAGAGCGCAAUGAUUUGCAGCCAGAAGUAGCAAUGGACCUUUUCAUGAGGAUAAAGUGGAACGUUUCCAGCCCAAGAUGUCGUUUGUGCAACUUCACAUCUACAGCGAAAGGGUGAUUUUAUUUACCAUGGGGCCUGUUAGAUCGUUGGACCAUACGAAAUGGACAAUUUUUGGCGGAAAUUUGAUCUCACGGAAUUAACAACCCUCACCGUCUUUUUGGAUCAGAUUCAGGGUCGUAUAUUUUCUUGGUGACGUCAUCUUUGUUUGGCGACUGCUGCAGAACAAUGUACUGCCCGUUCUUCUCAAGGGACCACCACGUCGUUUCUGAAAAAGGCGUUCUGAUCCACGUUUCGAAAACGACGAAAGCGUGAAUCGUGACG